GAUGAACGCUGGCGGCGUGCCUAAUACAUGCAAGUCGAGCGAACAGACGAGGAGCUUGCUCCUCUGACGUUAGCGGCGGACGGGUGAGUAACACGUGUAUAACCUCCCUAUAAGACUGGGAUAACUUCGGGAAACCGGAGCUAAUACCGGAUAAUAUCUUGAACCGCAGGGUUCAAUAGUGAAAUACGGUUUUGCUGUCACUUCUAGAUGGAUCCGCGCCGCAUUAGCUAGUUGGUAAGGUACCGGCUUACCAAGGCAACGAUGCGUAGCCGACCUGAGAGGGGGAUCGGCCACACUGGAGCGGAGCCGCGGUCCAGGCGCCUACGGGAGGCAGCAGUAGGGAAUCGUCCGCAGUGGGCGAAAGCCUGACGGAGCAACGCCGAGUGAGUGAUGAAGGUCUUGGGAUCGUAAAACUCUGUUAUUAGGGAAGAACAAAUGUGUAAGGAACUAUGCACGGCUUGACGGUACCUAAUCAGAAAGCCACGGCUAACUACGUG
rnacentral:rRNA from 1 species